rnacentral:rRNA from 1 species
AGCGAACGCUGGCGGCAGGCCUAACACAUGCAAGUCGAACGAACCCUUCGGGGUUAGUGGCGGACGGGUGAGUAACACGUGGGAACGUGCCUUUAGGUUCGGAAUAACUCAGGGAAACUUGUGCUAAUACCGAAUAUGCCCUUCGGGGGAAAGAUUUAUCGCCUUUAGAGCGGCCCGCGUCUGAUUAGCUAGUUGGUGAGGUAAUGGCUCACCAAGGCUACGAUCAGUAGCUGGUCUGAGAGGAUGACCAGCCACAUUGGGACUGAGACACGGCCCAAACUCCCACGGGAGGCAGCAGUGGGGAAUCUUGCGCAAUGGGCGAAAGCCUGACGCAGCCAUGCCGCGUGGAUGAUGAAGGUCUUAGGAUUGUAAAAUCCUUUCGCCGGUGAAGAUAAUGACUGUAGCCGGAGAAGAAGCCCCGGCUAACUUCGUGCCAGCAGCCGCCGUAAAAC